rnacentral:rRNA from 1 species
CAAUGCCGCGUGAGUGAAGAAGGCCUUCGGGUUGUAAAGCUCUUUUGUCAGGGAAGAAAAGGGAUUGGCUAAUAUCUGAUCCUCAUGACGGUACCUGAAGAAUAAGCACCGGCUAACUACGUGCCAGCAGCCGCGGUAAUACGUAGGGUGCAAGCGUUAAUCGGAAUUACUGGGCGUAAAGCGUGCGCAGGCGGUUUUGUAAGACUGUCGUGAAAUCCCCGGGCUCAACCUGGGAAUGGCGAUGGUGACUGCAAGGCUAGAGUUUGGCAGAGGGGGGUAGAAUUCCACGUGUAGCAGUGAAAUGCGUAGAUAUGUGGAGGAACACCGAUGGCGAAGGCAGCCCCCUGGGUCAAAACUGACGCUCAUGCACGAAAGCGUGGGGAGCAAACAGGAUUAGAUACCCUGGUAGUCCACGCCCUAAACGAUGUCUACUAGUUGUCGGGUCUUAAUUGACUUGGUAACGCAGCUAACGCGUGAAGUAGACCGCCUGGGGAGUACGGUCGCAAGAUUAAAACUCAAAGGAAUUGACGGGGACCCGCACAAGCGGUGGAUGAUGUGGAUUAAUUCGAUGCAACGCGAAAAACCUUACCUACCCUUGACAUGGAUGGAAUCCCGAAGAGAUUU